UUGAACGCUAACGGCAUGCUUAACACAUGCAAGUCGAACGGCAGCACAGCAGUAGCAAUACUGUGGGUGGCGAGUGGCGGACGGGUGAGGAAUACAUAGGAAUCUGCCUUUAAGUGGGGGAUAACCCGGGGAAACUCGGGCUAAUACCGCAUAAUCUUUACGAAGCAAAGUGGGGGACCGUAAGGCCUUACGCUUAAAGAUGAGCCUAUGUCGGAUUAGCUAGUUGGUGAGGUAAAGGCUCACCAAGGCAACGAUCCGUAGCUGGUCUGAGAGGAUGAUCAGCCACACUGGGACUGAGACACGGCCCAGACUCCUACGGGAGGCAGCAGUGGGGAAUAUUGGACAAUGGGGGGAAACCCUGAUCCAGCAAUGCCGUGUGUGUGUGAAGAAGGCCUUCGGGUUGUAAAGCACUUUUAGCGGGGAAGAAAAGUUCAAGUCUAAUAAGCUUGAAUGCUGACGUUACCCGCAGAAAAAGCACUGGCUAACUCUGUGCCAGCAGCCGCGGUAAUACAGAGAGUGCAAGCGUUAAUCGGAAAUACUGGGCGUAAAGCGCACGUAGGUGGAAUUCUAAGUCGGAUGUGAAAUCCCCGGGCUUAACCUGGGAAUUGCAUUCGAUACUGGGAUUCUUGAGUAUGGUAGAGGGAAGUGGAAUUUCUGGUGUAGCGGUGAAAUGCGUAGAUAUCAGAAGGAACAUCAGUGGCGAAAGCGGCUUCCUGGACCAAUACUGACACUUAGGUGCGAAAGCGUGUGGGAGCAAACAGGAUUAGACACCCUGGUAGUCCACGCCGUCAACGAUGAGAACUAGAUGUUGGGGAGUUUACUCCUUAGUAUCGAAGCUAACGCGUUAAGUUCUCCGCCUGGGGAGUACGGCCGCAAGGUUAAAACUCAAAGAAAUUGACGGGGGCCCGCACAAGCGGUGGAGCAUGCGGUUUAAUUCGAUGCAACGCGAAGAACCUUACCUACUCUUGACAUCCUCGGAAUCCACUGGAGACAGUGGAGUGCCUUCGGGAACCGAGAGACAGGUGCUGCAUGGCUGUCGUCAGCUCGUGUCGUGAGAUGUUAGGUUAAGUCCCGUAACGAGCGCAACCCCUGUCCUUAGUUGCCCAUCAUUUAGUUGGGAACUCUAAGGAGACCGCCGGUGAUAAACCGGAGGAAGGUGGGGGAUGAUGUCAAGUCAUCAUGGCCCUUAUGAGUAGGGCUACACGCGUGCUACAAUGGGCAGUACAAAGGGUUGCAAAGCCGCGAGGUGAAGCUAAUCCCAAAAAACUGUUCGUAGUCCGGAUUGGAGUCUGCAACUCGACUCCAUGAAGUUGGAAUCGCUAGUAAUCGCGAAUCAGAACGUCGCGGUGAAUACGUUCUCGGGCCUUGUACACACCGCCCGUCACACCAUGGGAGUGAAUUGCACCAGAAGUAGUUAGCUUAAACCGCAAGGGGGGGCGACUACCACGGUGUGCUUCAUGACUGGGGUG
rnacentral:rRNA from 1 species